CCAAUAGCGUAUAUUAAAGUUGUUGUGGUUAAAAAGCUCGUAGUUGAACCUUGGGCCUGGCUGGCCGGUCCGCCUCACCGCGUGUACUGGUCCGGCCGGGCCUUUCCCUCUGUGGAACCUCAUGCCCUUCACUGGGUGUGACGGGGAAGCAGGACUUUUACUGUGAAAAAAUUAGAGUGCUCCAAGCAGGCCUAUGCUCGAAUACAUUAGCAUGGAAUAAUAAAAUAGGACGUGCGGUUCUAUUUUGUUGGUUUCUAGGACCGCCGUAAUGAUUAAUAGGGACAGUCGGGGGCAUCAGUAUUCAAUUGUCAGAGGUGAAAUUCUUGGAUUUAUUGAAGACUAACUACUGCGAAAGCAUUUGCCAAGGAUGUUUUCAUUAAUCAGGAACGAAAGUUAGGGGAUCGAAGACGAUCAGAUACCGUCGUAGUCUUAACCAUAAACUAUGCCAACCAGCGAUUAGCCUGAGUUCCUUAAAUGACUCGGCUAGCAGCUUCCG
rnacentral:misc_RNA from 1 species